UUACUGGAGGAGGGUGGGGAUGACGUCAAAUCAUCAUGCCCCUUAUGACCUGGGCUACACACGUGCUACAUGGGAAGUUCAACGAGUCGCUAACCGCGAGGUCAUGCAAAUCUCUUAAAGCUUCUCAGUUCGGAUGCAGGCUGCAACUCGCCUGCAUGAAGCCGGAUACGCUAGUAAUCGCGGAUCAGCACGCCGCGGUGAAUAGUUCCCGGGCCUUGUACACACCGCCCGUCACACCACGAGAGUUUGUAACACCCGAAGUCGGUGAGGUAACUUUUUGGAGCCAGCCGCCUAAGGUGGGAUAGAUGAUG
rnacentral:rRNA from 1 species